rnacentral:snoRNA from 1 species
CACCAAAGCAUUUAGUCAGGGUGAUAAUGCUUGAUAUUUAAUCAUUUGAUUCUUUAUCAACUUUUUUCAACUACAUUAUUGCCUGUUACGUCUUUGGAAGAAUAAUACAAUUCGCCCCGUGUUCCCAAUGAGUGACUUUCUUGUAUCGUCACAAGUUGGAUCUUGUACCGUUCUGGUAUGAGAUUUUGUUCACAUUUUUUUGUUGAUAGUUUUUAUUGACAUACUUUAGAAUUGUCACGGAAUCUUAUUUUGAGUUGAAAUUAAUCCUUGUAUUUUCCUUAACAGGUAAAAUACAUUUAUCAUUGGUUUAUUUCAUAGUAUAGAGGCCGACAUCU